GGAAAAUGUACAAGUUCUAACAAGUUUUGCAAUCCUUGCAAAGUAGCUUGGGCCUUGCAAAACCAUUGGUUAUAGAGAUGAGCAAAGCCCUAAUACUGUGAAGUUCCUACAGGGAAACGUGGCCAGAGGAUUAGGCGCUAAUCUCUGACCUGAGAAGAUGUGAUGAAUGUCUACACUGUCGAUGGUACUGCAGCAGAGAUAGCUGAGCUCGUUAUGACUAGUUUUUGGCGGAAUAACCUAGUUCUGCACUUAGGGGUAUGGGAAGCUAAUUUCCAUUCCACCAGUGGAGUAAAUUAACCCAUGCAGAGAUCAACGCUAGAGAGUCAAGAAAGCAGAAAAUGGUAGCCUACACUGUAGCUGUACACCCUGUUUCCUCAUGUCCAAAUUUCUUAGAUGGCCACAAUCAAAUUGUUUGUCCUCUUGGCAUGUACACUUAUAAGGAAAAACAAAGUAUCGUGCCUAUUUUGCGUGCUUACCCUGAAGAGCAGUGCAUGUUGAUCUACAAAAUGCUCAGAUAUGGAAGGAUGUUACAUAGGUUGCUUAGAAAGAUGAAGGGAUUGAUUUUGUUAUUCCUUCAUCUUCCUCACAGCUAUAAACAACAGCUCUUUCUGCCCGGGAAUGGACUCAUAAGGCCCAGUUGGGAGAAUGACAGCUCUGCCCUGCUGGUAGUAAAUUAGGCUUGGGGCAUCCCAGGCAUGGAGAGGAGUCCUGGUCCUGUUCCACCAGCACUGUCUGCCCCUGAACUGAGCAGUGAGGUUCUGUGGGGACAAAAUAACAAUAUUUAAGUGGUAGUGGGAUGAAUUUCCUCACUCAAGCUUCUUAAAAUUAAAAAACGUGUCAAUUCAGGCAUCCCCAAGCUUCUGGAGUCCUGAUUAUGCAACUGUAGAACAUAAUUUUCUUCCUCUUCUGGUGAGUAACUAAAUAUUUGCGCUGUGGUAGUACUGAGCAGGCACGAGCGUUCCAAACGCAAAGCAAGGUGCAGUUCCUGCCCUGACUUGUAAGUGUUUUUUCUGAUGAAAGACUUUGCUAAUGAUAAGACUUGUGUGUUCACUUGGUUAUUUUUGUUCUUCUGAUCCCUCUUAAUAUAACUACCAUAAUUAAUAAAAGCAAAAGUAGAGCUGAACCGCUGCA
rnacentral:lncRNA from 1 species